GGGAAUGUGGCCUAGUGGUAAAGUGCUUGCCUAGCAUGCAUGAAGCCCUAGGUUCGAUUCCUCAGUGCCA
rnacentral:tRNA from 1 species